rnacentral:rRNA from 1 species
AGCGAACGCUGGCGGCAGGCCUAACACAUGCAAGUCGAACGCCCCUUCGGGGGAGUGGCGGACGGGUGAGUAACGCGUGGGAACGUGCCCUUUGGUGCGGAACAACUGAGGGAAACUUCAGCUAAUACCGUAUGUGCCCUACGGGGGAAAGAUUUAUCGCCAUUGGAGCGGCCCGCGUUGGAUUAGGUAGUUGGUGGGGUAAUGGCCCACCAAGCCGACGAUCCAUAGCUGGUCUGAGAGGAUGAUCAGCCACACUGGGACUGAGACACGGCCCAGACUCCUACGGGAGGCAGCAGUGGGGAAUCUUGCGCAAUGGGCGAAAGCCUGACGCAGCCAUGCCGCGUGUAUGAUGAAGGUCUUAGGAUUGUAAAAUACUUUCACCGGGGAAGAUAAUGACGGUACCCGGAGAAGAAGCCCCGGCUAACUUCGUGCCAGCCGCCGCAGUAA